rnacentral:rRNA from 1 species
CCUGGCUCAGGAUGAACGCUAGCUACAGGCUUAACACAUGCAAGUCGAGGGGCAGCAUGGUCUUAGCUUGCUAAGACUGAUGGCGACCGGCGCACGGGUGAGUAACACGUAUCCAACCUGCCGUCUACUCUUGGACAGCCUUCUGAAAGGAAGAUUAAUACAAGAUGGCAUCAUGAGUCCGCAUGUUCACAUGAUUAAAGGUAUUCCGGUAGACGAUGGGGAUGCGUUCCAUUAGAUAGUAGGCGGGGUAACGGCCCACCUAGUCUUCGAUGGAUAGGGGUUCUGAGAGGAAGGUCCCCCACAUUGGAACUGAGACACGGUCCAAACUCCUACGGGAGGCAGCAGUGAGGAAUAUUGGUCAAUGGGCGAGAGCCUGAACCAGCCAAGUAGCGUGAAGGAUGACUGCCCUAUGGGUUGUAAACUUCUUUUAUAAAGGAAUAAAGUCGGGUAUGGAUACCCGUUUGCAUGUACUUUAUGAAUAAGGAUCGGCUAACUCCGUGCCAGCAGCCGCGGUAAUACGGAGGAUCCGAGCGUUAUCCGGAUUUAUUGGGUUUAAAGGGAGCGUAGAUGGAUGUUUAAGUCAGUUGUGAAAGUUUGCGGCUCAACCGUAAAAUUGCAGUUGAUACUGGAUAUCUUGAGUGCAGUUGAGGCAGGCGGAAUUCGUGGUGUAGCGGUGAAAUGCUUAGAUAUCACGAAGAACUCCGAUUGCGAAGGCAGCCUGCUAAGCUGCAACUGACAUUGAGGCUCGAAAGUGUGGGUAUCAAACAGGAUUAGAUACCCUGGUAGUCCACACGGUAAACGAUGAAUACUCGCUGUUUGCGAUAUACUGCAAGCGGCCAAGCGAAAGCGUUAAGUAUUCCACCUGGGGAGUACGCCGGCAACGGUGAAACUCAAAGGAAUUGACGGGGGCCCGCACAAGCGGAGGAACAUGUGGUUUAAUUCGAUGAUACGCGAGGAACCUUACCCGGGCUUAAAUUGCAGAUGAAUUACGGUGAAAGCCGUAAGCCGCAAGGCAUCUGUGAAGGUGCUGCAUGGUUGUCGUCAGCUCGUGCCGUGAGGUGUCGGCUUAAGUGCCAUAACGAGCGCAACCCUUGUUGUCAGUUACUAACAGGUUCCGCUGAGGACUCUGACAAGACUGCCAUCGUAAGAUGUGAGGAAGGUGGGGAUGACGUCAAAUCAGCACGGCCCUUACGUCCGGGGCUACACACGUGUUACAAUGGGGGGUACAGAGGGCCGCUACCACGCGAGUGGAUGCCAAUCCCCAAAACCUCUCUCAGUUCGGACUGGAGUCUGCAACCCGACUCCACGAAGCUGGAUUCGCUAGUAAUCGCGCAUCAGCCACGGCGCGGUGAAUACGUUCCCGGGCCUUGUACACACCGCCC